rnacentral:rRNA from 1 species
CAGAACUGAUUCGGGCUCGGCCCGAUCCUCCCACCCUUUGUGUACCUACCUCUGUUGCUUUGGCGGGCCGCGGUCCUCCGCGGCCGCCCCCCUCCCCGGGGGGGUGGCCAGCGCCCGCCAGAGGACCAUCAAACUCCAGUCAGUAAACGAUGCAGUCUGAAAAACAUUUAAUAAACUAAAACUUUCAACAACGGAUCUCUUGGUUCUGGCAUCGAUGAAGAACGCAGCGAAAUGCGAUAAGUAAUGUGAAUUGCAGAAUUCAGUGAAUCAUCGAAUCUUUGAACGCACAUUGCGCCCUUUGGUAUUCCGAAGGGCAUGCCUGUUCGAGCGUCAUUACAACCCUCAAGCUCUGCUUGGUAUUGGGCACCGUCCUUUGCGGGCGCGCCUCAAAGACCUCGGCGGUGGCGUCUUGCCUCAAGCGUAGUAGAACAUACAUCUCGCUUCGGAGCGCAGGGCGUCGCCCGCCGGACGAACCUUCUGAACUUUUCUCAAGGUUGACCUCGGAUCAGGUAGGGAUACCCGCUGAACUUAAGCAUAUCAUAAGACCGGAGGAA